AUCAAAGGUACCAACACACCACUACAUCAUUACGAAAAAAAUAACUUAGAAAGCCGAAGGGUGCAUUGAAAUUUUGUUGAUUCAGUACCAUUUUGGGGAUAAUUCAUGGUUAAGCAAUUCGCAUGAAUUUUUAUUGCGCACUAAUAUUUUAGUGAUUUUUUCAAUAAAUAAAAAAUAUAACGAAAUGAUAUCCUGUGGCAAUGGCCGCUGCACAAUAAUUCUAGACAGAUUAUGUAUCACAAGAUCACAAGCAAGAAUAGAAUGUGUCCGCCAUAUCUAUUGAGAGUGCAUGGAAUGUGUGGAGAAAAAUUAAUUGUCUGUCUAUAGCUGUAUGGAACAGUAAAAAAUUACUGUGUGGGGGCUAUUAAAUUUCGUUCCACUUGGCCACUGAAUAAUCCAUUGUAACCAUUUUCAGUGCCUCACAAGGGAUUUCAAUAAAAAAAACAAGUUUCGUGAUUUUACUGAAAAUUUCCUGUACGAUAUGCUGAUCUAAUCUGAAAAUGUUAUGCUGAUCUCUGUUUCACGAUUUUUUACAAAAAUUAAAAAACAAAAAAGGGUGUUUUACAACUUCGUCGCGUUCCAAGACAAAUUUUUAGAGAAUUUAAAAAUCAUAAAUUUGGAAUCUAUUACGUGCAAAAUAUUUAACGAGCCUGAAGGGCGAGUUUAUUUCAUUUAGAAGAGAUGAGAAUAGAACAACAUGGGAAAUUUUCAGAGUUCGUCAAUGACGAGGUAUAACGGGAUAUUGAUAAAACGUUAGCACUGAAAAUAAUUGAAACAAUAUUUGAUAAGAUAAAUAACACGCGCGGUCAGGUGGGCGAGUUUGAAUGGUGCGCUCUGGCAGUGGCCCCUACGUCGCACGCCAGCAACCCAGGUGCCAAUGGACGGUGGGACUGCGUUGCCGUCAGGUCCCUCUUAUCGAACAAAAAAUCCGGAGUAUUCACUAUAUUUUAUUGGAGUAUUUAGGUGUAUUCGUAUAAUUAUUUUCAGUACGAAUAACUAUUACAGAAUUAAAUCGAGGUAGAAAACUUGAGAGUUUCCACUCACUUCACAUAAACAUAAACAUAAACAAUGAUUCCAUAGAAACGAAGAACAGAGAGUUCUAUGAUUGGGUGAGGAAUGUUGGUUUGCUCUUAGUGACCAGUCUUUAGUCUCCUAGAGACAUCCGGGGAGUACUGACGUUCCUUCCUGGUGCCGAUUAUAAAAUAAAGAAAUUAUAGUAGUAAAUCUACUCGAAGAGAAAUAUUCAGUAGUUAUUCCCCAAGACCUUCAAAAUUAUCGGAUAUUUCCAGAGAGUUUCGUUACGUAGCAACGAGAGGGAUAAGUUUUGCAGUUUAAAAAUCCCGAGCGCAAAGCGCGAGGAUUUUUCUGCGAAACUUAUCCCGAUCGGUGUCAAUUAUCCCGAUCGGUCAAUUAUUACACCUAAUCCACGUCCUGUGGGGUUAUAAAACUACAACGAUAUAUUUCUAAAAUAUAGUCGAUUCUACUAGGGAAGUAUUUGGAUUUUUAUUCCCUCAUCAAUUAUUUUUUAAUAAUUGCAGAAAAAGUUGUGCGAUAACAGUAAGAUCAGUAAGAUCUACGUGGCUCAUAAUUUUGGGACUUCACAAGCACAAUUAUUAUCACUGCAAGAAUAUAUUCUCAAAACUUCCACAAUUCAUCUGAUUUCCCUCCCUUCCCGUAAGACUCCUGCCGAAGUUCCUGAAUAAAAAACCGAAAUCCAACUGUCAGAAGAAAACGGUACGUUAUUUGGAUGGCAUCCAAAAGUGUCGCAGCAAUGCGUAAAAAUUCUCUUCUCCCCUAAAAAUGGUAUAAGACUAUCAGCCAAGUGGAUUGAAGCCAAGUUAAACCUCUUCUUUCUCAAAGGCAUUUGCUGCCAAAAGUGAUUUUAUAAAAUAUUAUCCUCCCCUCUCCACCGAAAUUAACUAUCGUUUUACCUCUUGCGGCAGACAAUGCGGUACAGUAUUAUGGUGAUAGUAUCGAUUUCGUCAAAAAGCGAAUAGUCAUGUUGAAAGAUACCAGGAGACUUGUCGGUUUUGUGGUGGCGGUGGUUAAAACUGGUUCGCCCACCCAUGUUUACUGUACUUGAGGAUGGGUUAACAUACCUGUCUGUGUGAUAUGGGAAUGAUAUAAAAAUGUCCUUUGCCAGCGAGACGACGUUGAGUACCAACUUGGUGAGUUUUUCAUAGCUUUUUCCAGAAAGAGAAUCGAUAGCCACCGGUUGGUGCGGCCGUCAACAUCAAGCUCAUGGAGGACGAUGAACCGCUUGGUUCAUCGGUUACAUCGUCCCACAGCACCAGAGGCCUAUGGCUUCCUUAUUUGGUUGAAUACAAGUAUUGAAAAAUGUAGAAACCACAACGUUAAAUUGUUCUUUCGGUCUACCACUGAUGUAUUAUGAGGAGUACGUACGUAUUAAUGUGCUAGUAUGAAGUUUCAGACUGGAGAAACGUCUGAAAGCGUCUGUAUUAAACACAUAAGAAAAAUGGAAAGGGUCUGGUGAAGGGUGAGCAAUAGUCGACUUCCAAUACGUAUAUGGAGACGAGAAAACAUCUUCGAGUUGCUUUUACGGCGGUGGAGUAUCGUAUUCCCUCCUCUCAUAACUGUUUAUUUUGGAAUGUCGAUGUCUCUUAAGUAUUUCAAAUUACAUUCAGUAUCAGCAUUGCAGAGUUAUUGAUUUUAUUUUGAGGUACCCCAUUGUCAUUAACUCAGGGAACUUCAGUGGAAGAUGUACUAGCGAUGUUUGGUUUCACUGAACUUCUUGUAGGAAUAUAAAGCUCGUUAUUGAUGGAGGACGAGGUUCCGUUUUAGAGCCUUAAUUGUAGAUUUUAGAAUCACUUGUUCAAUUUUUUAAUUGAUUAAUCUGUUCUAAAAUCAAAGCUAAUCGAAAGUUCCUUUUUACGGAUUUCCUCGCGUUGUGGAAUAGAAGGAAAUGAGGUGGCAGACAAACUGGCAGGAGAAGGGACAGAUAAUCUCUCAAAUGAGUUCAACUGAGAUUCUCAAUGAAAUUUUCUAAAUGUUCUAAAUUCGAAGAUUUAAAAAAAUGGA